UAUAAACUAAAAUAUAAAAAUGGCAUCCAGUAAAUAAAAGCUCACUUCCACUGGAUGCWGGAUUAUUGCUCGUAUCUUAUUCUGAAGAUUGGAAUUUUGAUUGUGGAGUCCCUUUUUUCAUCACAUUCUUUUAUUUUCUUUUUUAUUUCUUUAUUUUAUAACUCAGUUUCUCUGACAUGAAACUUGGUUCCGCUUUUAUGCUCACUUCUGAGCCCUGCCAAGAGCUGGAAUUGUUCAMUCAGAUGGGAACUACAAACUUGUCUGCCACUUUUACCCAGAAUGCACUGCAGUUAGUAGAUUGCUUCUCUGGAAGAUGAGUGCUGUCUUUAAAACUCCCCUUUUUCACA